GUGCUUGCUUCGGCAGCACAUAUACUAAAAUUGGAACGAUACAGAGAAGAUUAGCAUGGCCCCUGCGCAAGGAUCUUUUCCCUGCCACUCCGACUCUACAUGAUUUC
rnacentral:snRNA from 1 species